rnacentral:ncRNA from 1 species
GAACUGAAGAGUUUGAUCCUGGCUCAGAUUGAACGCUGGCGGCAUGCUUUACACAUGCAAGUCGAACGGCAGCACGGGGGUAACCCUGGUGGCGAGUGGCGAACGGGUGAGUAAUGCAUCGGAACGUAUCCUGUUGUGGGGGACAACCUACCGAAAGGUGGGCUGAUACCGCAUGAGACCUGAGGGUGAAAGCGGGGGACUGGAGACGGCCUCGCGCGAUGGGAGCGGCUGAUGUCCGAUUAGCUAGUUGGUGGGGUAAAGGCCUACCAAGGCUGCGAUCGGUAGCGGGUCUGAGAGGAUGAUCCGCCACACUGGGACUGAGACACGGCCCAGACUCCUACGGGAGGCAGCAGUGGGGAAUUUUGGACAAUGGGGGCAACCCUGAUCCAGCCAUGCCGCGUGAGUGAAGAAGGCCUUCGGGU